rnacentral:lncRNA from 1 species
CAAGGGAUUAUUAAUGGUUUUCUUCCCUUUCAAACCAAGGGUCCUCAUCAAGCACCUCGCAUCACUAAGGGACAACAUGAAGAUAUGCAACACGCAUCAACAGUUUAAAAUCAGAUGAGACAUUCCCCAUAUAAAAGAAGCUAUUCGAUAAAUGAUAACAGCCAGAGUGCGCUUUUGGCACUUACUUGGAUAGAAGGCUUAUUAAGAUGCCCAAGAUUGGAUGUUGUCUGGCGUGGUUCUUGGCCAAGCAUCAUGGUUUGUGGGUUGAUCAAACGGAAUGCAUCGAUCACCAACUUCCCUUUAACACUCUGAAUUGG